rnacentral:lncRNA from 1 species
UUAAUUGUUAGUAUUCGAGGAGGAUGGCACCCCAUGAUUCAUCACUUGUGUCAGUUUGUAGGAUGCGUUUGCCAUCUGUGAUCAAAAGUUGAUCACAGAUGGCAAACGCAUCCUAGGUGUGUCAUGAUGUAUAUUUACUUUUACUUUUGUAAAAGAUAGGAAUCUUAUCCUAUCUUCCUGAGUUUUCUCCUAUAUAAGGAGUUCUCUCUUCUCUUGUAAGAUAUAGAAGUUUGAAAGAAAUAAACUCGUGUGUUGCCGAGAAGGUUCUUGUGGAGCACUGGGAGGUGGUUUGAAAGUCAGUCUGACAGUUCCAUCCUGUCGUCCAAACCCAUUGUGGAAAAAUAAGUCUUUCUUCAUUAAGUCGGUCACGCCAUUUAUGGGAUGGAAGAUCUUUCAUUGAGUCGGUCAUGCCAUUUAUGGGAUGGAAGAUCAUCAAAUGUGAACCAUGGACCAUUGGAUGGUUUUUGACUGGGGGAACUAGGCUGGGUUUGAGCUGGAGGAGGUUGGUUUGUUGCCGAAGAUUCAGGUNNNNNNNNNNNNNNNNNNNNNNNNNNNNNNNNNNNNNNNNNNNNNNNNNNNNNNNNNNNNNNNNNNNNNNNNNNNNNNNNNNNNNNNNNNNNNNNNNNNNUGCUCGCAAAGUUUGUCAAGGCAAGUUUUUGGCAAGCUGAAAGAUUUUGCCAAGGGAGAUGUUUUCAACCUUGCAGUUAGGGUGAAGUACGUGGCGUUGUUAUACCAGAACUACAACAGUUAAGACUGUUCUUAGGACCAGUAGUCCGCAAGCUCGGGUUUCCAGCCGAUAUACUUUCGCAAAACUUUUAAAACAUUUUUUCUCGGGUUAUACAACCCAAAACAGACUUUCCUUUAGUCUAAAACAGGGUACCAAACCAGAUAAGAAAUGAUCAAAAGUUUUCUGAUGCACAGGAUCCUUAGAAAAGGCAAGUGCAGAGCAUACUUCCUUAGGUUUUCAAAAUGAACAGAUUUAAUUCUUUAUUCUUUUUUCCGUUUCUAAAACUUCAUUUGCAGAGAGAGAAGAGGGGUUUAGGGAGUCAUGGAGAAAAACACACGAGUUUAUUUCUUUCAAACUUCUAUAUCUUACAAGAGAAGAGAGAACUCCUUAUAUAGGAGAAAACUCAGGAAGAUAGGAUAAGAUUCCUAUCUUUUACAAAAGUAAAAGUAAAUAUACAUCAUGACACACCUUUAAUUAUUACAAAAGGACAAAAGAUGCUUUAAUAAUUAAAGCAUAACUUUUGACAAAAGCAAAAGCAAAAGCUUAAAGUAAAAGCAAGCUGUAAUGAUUACAUAAGACAAAACAUAAGAAGACAAACUACUUUUAUGGAGAGGAUAGAUUCAUGUAGUCAUCUUCAGAGGAGCUUUCUGUCGCAUCGGGGUCCGUGUCACCAGAGUGCUUUUGGAAAAAAGAUUUGGAGAGCUUGAGCUUGGGAUGUUUGCAGGAGGGACCACGGCAUGGGGGAUGAGGGCAAUUGUAUUCCCUUGGAGUACCCUUUGGAGUAUAUUUUGGGGAAGUUUGGGUGGCUUUGUCGGCUUGAGAGGGUCGAACUGGGGUAUUGGAAGGUCGGUGUGAUGGUCCUGGAGCAGAAGGGUCAGGUUCAUCUAGUGUAGGUUGGGGGAAUUGGUGAAGGUGUUGGCUGAGAGGAAGGAAGUCUUCCCAAGGGUCCUGGGAGUCUUGGUAGAGGAAGUCAGUGUAGUCUGGACGUUCUUCCUUAAUGACAAUUCCUGUGGACUUAGGUUUAGAGGUGGCUGAAGGAGUCGGGAUCAUAAGGAUUUCAUGUUGGGGUCCUAAGGAGGUGUGUGAGAUAUUUUUCAGUGGGGGAGGUUUGUGGUUUAGUUGACAAAGGUAAUUAUGCAGAACAUUUUGAAGAUCAUUGUCAAUGAUAGCUAUAUGUGGUGCAGUGAACCAUUCAUAUGCUUGAUCUUGAGUCCAGAAGAGGUUGGUGGCUGGAUGUUGGAAGUAGGGCCUGUGAAUGAUGAAAACUGUUGUCCAUAAUUUUGCUUCAGAGGUAGGCAUACGAUCAAGGUUGUGAAUUUCUGAGAGCUGUUGAAGCUUCUUUCUCCACCAUGGUAUUGGGGAGAACCAUUCAAGGAGCGUCCAGGUAAGGGAGGUAGCAUUGUCGGGAUGAAGGAGAUGUUCCAGUGUGGGAGUAACUGGGAGGAUCAACUUGGUUGCAUAAAGGACUGUUAGGCACCAGAUGUACCAUAACACGUCUUCAGUGGUGUCUCUGGAUGGAUCAAGGGUUAAACCUGUAGAAAACAUAUUCUCUGGGUGGAAAGAGGAGAAAGGGAAAGGGUCUGUGACAAGAUAGGCUUUCAUGAAGAACCAAAAAAGAGCUUUUCUUGCAAAUUCUUGGAUAUCAAAAACAGAAGAGAAGGUUUUGUUGAAGGGAAAAGUCUUUUUGGUGAGAGCUUCUGAGGGAAGGGAUGUAGCCAUGGAGAUUAUCGGAAAGUGAUAUGUGGUGGAGAACAGGGUGAGAGGUUUUUCUGGUUUUGAAAGUCUGGAUAGCAUAUCAGGGAUGAGGUUCUGGGACCCCUUUAUAUGCUUAACCGAAAAAUCAUAUUUGGAAAACCAAUCCUUUAAUCUGAGUAACAUUUUCUCAGGAACAGUUUUACCUUUGAAAUUGAGAAUAUUGGGAAAGGCUGAGCUGUCCAUUCGGAUGAGAAAGUGGUGUCCAAUCAAAUGAUACUCAAAUUUUUUGAUGCCAUUUUUUACGGCGAGGAUUUCUUUGAACACACUAUGGUAGUGCCUCUGAGUGUCAGAAAAGUGGCCGCUAGCAUGAGCAAUAAAGUGAUCCUUAUUAUUAAGUUCUUCGAGGAGGAUGGCACCCCAUGAUUCAUCACUUGCGUCAGUUUAUAGGAUGCGUUUGCCAUCUGUGAUCAACUUUAAAGGAGGCGGAUUUUGCGCGAUCUGUUUGAGAGUAGUGACAGCAGUGGUGUGGUCAGCAUUCCACUCGGGGGGCUUCUUUUUUAAUAAAGCCGAAAGAUGAUGAGUGUGGUGGUCCACAUGUGGAAUAAAAUCACGGAUGUAAUUGACGAUGCCGAGAAACUGUUGGACUUGUCUUUUGGAAAGUUGCUGAUCUGGAAAGUGAAGCAACUCUUGGGCAAUGUGUUUUCCAGGCUGGUAAUGACCAUCUGUGAUGACCAUACCAAGGAAUUCAAUUUUGUCAGUAGCAAUGGUGCUUUUCUUGGCUGAUAGCAUAAUUCCAUGAUGUUGAACAAUAUCAUAGAACUGAGUUAACAGCUGGCGAUGUUCAUCGUGGGAUCCUGAAAAAAGCAAGAUAUCAUCAAUGUAAAUUAAUGCAUGAUGCAGGAUAGGCUCAAAGAUUUUGACCAUGGAUUUUUGGAAAAUGGACGGGGCUGUUUUGAGACCGAAAGGCAGAAUUGUCCAUUGGAAAUGGGCAUUGGGGAUACAAAAGGCAGUUUUGGAACGGUCAGAGGGUUCAAUGCCUAAUUGCCAGAAACCUGAUUUUAAAUCGAAUUUGGAAAAGAUCUGGGCAUUUUUGAGAAAAGUAAACAUGCUUUGUCUGCGGGGUAAUGGAAACUUGUCAUCUUGUAAAAACAUGUUUAGGGGCUGAUAAUCAAUGACUAGGCGUUUCUUUCCUCGGAUAAUUUCAGAAUGUUUUUCAACAUAAAAGGCUUGGCAAGCCCAUUGAGAAUUUGUGGGCUCAAUUAAACCUUGGGCUAACAAUUGUGAACAUUCUUGUUGAGCUAGGAGUAAGUCAGAAGGACUCAUUCCUGGGUGAGUGGCCUUGGUUGGGUUAAUGUCUUCAUUGAGCUUAAAAGGGAGCUUAAUGAAGAAAGACUUAUUUUUCCACAAUGGGUUUGGAUGGGUAAACUCAGAAUGGGUUUUGGGACAGAAACUCAAAAGUUUAGUGGAAAUAUCCUGGUAGGACUGGGGUGUUUCAGACAGAUUGUAGAGUUUCAGAAUGUUUGUGUAUGGUUUGAACAUGGACUUGACUCGGAUUCCAGUGGGAAUGAUUUGGAGGUGUUUGAGCUGGUGGAGGACAUCAAAACCUAACAAGACAUCCUUAUCAGGAAGGGUGGAACCGAUAACUUUGGUCCAAAUGACACAAUUGGGAAAAAGUUGAAUACCAAUGGGUUUUUUGGUAAUCAAAGAAGUGGAUAAGACUUUGCCAUUGACAGCUUUGAAAUGUUCUUCAGACUUGGUCCAAUAUUCGGAUGGAAGAAUAUGGGGAUUUAACAUGGUGCGUUGGGCACCAGUGUCAAUGAGACCAAUUGCUGGAACGGGCCUUUGGAAUUUUGAGGGUAAGAUCUGGAUUUUGAUGGAUGGAAUAGGAACAGUAGUGUCUAGGGACAGUAACUGUUGAUGGAAAAUCACUUGGGACUGAUCGCUGUCGGAAUCAGAGGAAUUUUGUAGUGCGAACACUGUUUCAUCAUUAGGUUCAUCUUGUUCAGAGAAAUAGGAUUCCAGUUCAUCCGUGGCUGGAGAAUAAUCGGUAGUGGCUUGAAGAUGCUCAACUAACCGAAUAGAUUUUUCUCGUUUGUUGGGACAAUCUUUGGCAAAAUGACCUUUUCUUUUGCAGAUAAAACAUCGGCUUGAUUUUCUUCGCUGAAAGUCUCUGGAGGAAGAGGACGUUUUGCGGAAGAAUCGGUAUGGUUUUCUGGAUCUGCGAGGUCUGGAUGAAGAUUCUGGAUUUUUGAAUUUCCUAAAAUGCCUUUUUUUCUUAGGACUGCAAUCACAAUCUUUUUUCUUGUGGCAUUUGAUCUGCAGAUAAGGUUUUUUGCAAGCACUUCGGAAUGGUUCUUUGUCUUUUAACAGUUCUUUGAAAAACUGUUUUUGCUCGCAAAGUUUGUCAAGGCAAGUUUUGGCAAGCUGAAAGAUUUUGCCAAGGGAGAUGUUUUCAACAGCAAGGUUGGAGGCGGUGAGUUGUCGUUGUAUGUCUGGUUGGAGUUCAUCUGGAAGGGAUGAUAGAAAAACAUGCUUCAGUGUGGGCUCGUUGAAUCCAUUAAGCUUAUAGAACAGCAGGGACAUCCGCUUAUAAUGGAAGUCAAGAUCCUUAGCAUUGAGCGAACAACAUUUCAUGUUGAGAUAGUCUCGUCGUGCAGCUUCAAAGACUGCAGAGGGGUCUCCAAGGAAUUGAUCAUGGAUAACCGCAAGAGCACUUGAGACUUCUGGUAAUUGGACAAACUGUAGCUGUCGGUAUUGACCGAGAGAAUCAAACCAAUCUCUUAGAGCACCCGUAAAACGAGUAGCAUAUUCUCUAAGGACUGAUUCAGUCGUAGCUCCGGGUCUGAGCAUUUGGAGGUCAAUCCAGGCAGACAUUUCAUUGAGUCGGUCACGCCAUUUAUGGGAUGGAAGAUCAUCAAAUGUGAACCAUGGACCAUUGGAUGGUUUUUGACUGGGGGAACUAGGCUGGGUUUGAGCUGGAGGAGGUUGGUUUGUUGCCGAAGAUUCAGGUAUGUCUUCGUCAACUUCGGAGGGAAUAUUAACUAGGGUUCGGUAUGAGAGGGUUGUCCGGGAGAAGGCUGAUCAGGUUGGGUCAUCAAGAUUCGGGUGAUAUCAGCAUAGGACUUUUCAGAGUCACUUGAGGAUGGUGAGGAGGCUGUGUCAGAUUCAGUAUGACUAUCAGAAACAGCGAGAUUGGAAUAAGAAGUUUGGUCAUCGGAAGUAAAGGAAUGGUUUACUGUAUGGGCACUAAAUUGAUGCAUGGGCUGUUUAUCUUUGGGUUGAGGGUGUAGUGGCGGUGGAGCUGGCGGAGAUAUCUGUGUAGGAGGAGCUAAAGGUUGACCAGGGAUGGAUAGAGAAGAAGGGUGUAGUGAGACAGGUCGAGGUUGUGAGCGGGGUUGUGGUCUAGGUUUUGGCUUAGGUUUGGGCAGUGGAUUAUCACGAAAAAGAGUAUGGGUCAUGCCAAAGAGUUUAGAUGGAUCAUAUGGUUUGAUGGGGGAAAGCAUAGAGGCAAAAGGAUGAUAAGUUGGACCAACGGAAGGAAUAGGAGGUGAAGAGGUAAAAAGGGAAGGCCUUUCAAUCUGAGCAAGCUCAGUUUUUAGGCGACGGAUUUCUCGUUCUUUUUGAUUAAAUUCUGGACCAUAGUAGCGCUGGGCAAGCAUAGCGCGUAGUUCAGAAUCAAGUUGGGUAAUCCUGGACUGGAGAUUUUGGUGGAUUUGGUGCAUUUGGGUGGUGAUGGAAUCAACCUUUGUCUCAAUUUGUUCAGUUCGUAAACUGAUUUUGUCAACUUUGGAAUGGAUGUUGGACAAAGUAUCAUUCUGUGCCCUGGCAUUUUGGGUUUGCCAGUUGAGAAGAGACUCAAAGGGUUUAGAGGGUUCGAGAUGGCCAGUGGAGGUAAUUGGUGAAGGGAUAAAAGGCUUAGACACAACAUUUCGUUGGGAGUCGGUGUGGGGGUCUAAGGAUGGAAAAGAGGAGGAGUAGGCUGAAGAGGUAGAGGAAAACAUCAUACAAGCCAAAGGUGGGGUUGGAAGUGGGAUUGGGGAUGGAGUCUCAGUUUUGCAAUGUUUGGCAAUCCAUCUGAGUUCUUUUUUGUAAAAGGGUAAUGGAGCCGGUGGAGGUGGAGGAUCCGAUGGUGGUUUGGGAUCAUAGUGGUGACAGGAGGCCGGAGGUUUUUUCUUUUUGGGUUUUCUUUUGGUAGUAUAAUCAUCAUCGUCUUCCCAAUCAUCCCAGCAGGGGCAAGUUGGGUCACACAUGCCUGAGCCUGGGACAUCCCAUAGGAAAUGUCCAUUUUGCUUUGCAGGAUAAACAGGAUAGCCGUCGGAAUUAAAUUCGGAAAUGGGCAGGUCUUCCUGGGCUGUGGGAACAGCCGUAAUCAUUGAGGAAUAAGUAAAGGAAAGCCGAGGAGGUUCUUGUGGAGCACUGGGAGGUGGUUUGAAAGUCAGUCUGACAGUUCCAUCCUGUCGUCUUUCAAACAUGCUUUCAGAUGUCUGAAUUGGAGCUGUAUUAUUAUGGAACUGCUCAUAGUUGGAGAUCCAUUCAAGAGGCAUAAGCUUGAGAAGCUCAUGACGGGGGAUUUGUCUUGGGAUCUGGAUGAUGGUAGGGAUCUGGUCAGAUUCAGCUAACACCAUGAGGGUGUCAGAGUGGUGUUCUGGAGUGGGUAGAUCUAAGGCAUGAUUCUGAAGCCUAUAGACUAGUUGGUGGUGUAAGGUGGCUAUUUUGGCAGAGGAAAUUUGGUCAGCACCUUGAAUUUGGAUUUGAACUUUGAGGGUUGUGGGCAAGUUGGGAUCUUGAAGGGAAAGGUUAAAGUUUGGAUAAAAGGUGAGCAAGACACUUCCUGCAUGGAGGGUUGUGAGGACAGUGCCUAUAACAUCAUCUUGGUACUGUUUAAACCGGGUAUCAAGCAUAGCAAGGCGAGCUGUAACCGGUAAUCCUUUUCGACCAUGAAGGGUAAGGAUUAAUCUGAUGCCGCCAAGAUGAAGAUGGGUAUAACCUUCACGUUUCCAGUGGGAGAGGAGCUCGGAGGGUAUUUCCAGAGUGACAUAUUGCUCAGCAGAGGUUGCUUGGAGAGCACACUGAUCCAGGCGAGAAGACUGGAUAUAUUCUUUAGGAUGGGGGCGUUUGGUUGAGAUGAGGGUGCGGAUACUGCGGGCAAUAGAACUAGGACGUUUGUAAAGCUGAUAGGGACUGAGGAGAGGAUAAGAGGACUCACUAAUUUGGGCAGAUUCAGGGAUAUAGGAAUAUUCGACAAGGUUUUCGAUUUUAUUGGUUGUAUGAGAAGUACAAGAUUUAGGUAAAGAGAGUGUAGAAGAAAGAGUAACCGGAGUUGAAGAUGAAGAGGAAGCCAUGAAGGAGAAAAUCUCUCUGCGUGGUGAAGAUUAGAAAACAAAACAGAAUAAAGAACAAAUCAUACCAUUUUGGAUAAGCAAAGACAAGCUCCAAAAGUUGUAGUACUAUUUUUAUUUUGUCUUUACAAUUAUUACAAUUAUUUAUUUAUUUAUUUAUUUAUUUUUUAAUUUCAAUGAAAUCUCCUCACUUUGGUGAAGGUUCAUCGAAAAAGAAAGUUAUAUCAUAAUAGCACAGUUCUUUGCAAAGCAACUGCGACAAUUUGAUCCUUUUAUAUUAUAAGAUUAAGGGAAAAGAACACAGAG